CCAACCCUUGGGCACACUUAACACCAAGAUAGUAGGAGGCUAGCCCAAUUUACACUCGACCAAGCCUUGGCCAAGGAUUAGAACAUGUGUAACUAUUGAUUUAAAAAAGACGCACUCUUAAGAUUCAAAAAAAGUGAAUCCCACUGUAAUUGGGAUUAGCAACCAAAAAUCAAGGGGAAGAUAAUUUUGGAAAGCAAGCUAAGUGAAGAAAUCAUUGGGAAGAAUCCAAAAAGGAAACUCUAAUCCUUGUGGCUAUAAAAGAAGUUGUCGACAGAAAACAAAGAUCAUCCUCUUCCUCAGAUUGCACUCUGCAACGUCUGUAACAUUUCUGCACUUUUCUUCUUUCACUUUUCAUUUAAUCAAAAAGAAAGUUUGGGUUGUAAUUCAUCAUGAGUGACUAGACACUUUUACUUUUCCUAGU
rnacentral:lncRNA from 1 species